rnacentral:rRNA from 1 species
CCCUUAGAUGUCCUGGGCCGCACGCGCGCUACACUGACGGAGCCAGCGAGCUUACCCCUUUGCCGAAAGGCAUGGGAAAUCUUUUGAAUCUCCGUCGUGCUAGGGAUAGACUAUUGCAAUUAUUAGUCUUGAACGAGGAAUUCCUAGUAAACGCAAGUCAUCAGCUUGCAUUGAUUACGUCCCUGCCCUUUGUACACACCGCCCGUCGCACCUACCGAUUGAAUGACUCGGUGAAAUAUCGGGACCGUUGUCUGGUUUGAUUCAUUUCGAACUAGAUAGUGGGAACUUUCUUUAACCUAUUUAUUUAGAGGAAGGUGAAGUCGUAACA